rnacentral:rRNA from 1 species
UACAGAGGGUGCAAGCGUUGUUCGGAUUCACUGGGCUUAAAGGGCGCGUAGGCGGCUUGCCGAGUCAGGGGUGAAAUCCUGGAGCUCAACUCCAGAACUGCCUUUGAUACUGGAGAGCUUGAGUCCGGGAGAGGUGAGUGGAACUCCGAGUGUAGAGGUGAAAUUCGUAGAUAUUCGGAAGAACACCAGUGGCGAAGGCGGCUCACUGGCCCGGUACUGACGCUGAGGUGCGAAAGCGUGGGGAGCAAACAGG